CUUAAAGAUCGGACGUGCACGGACGUGUGACGUGUCCGUUGCAGAAGCAUCCUAGAAAGUCAGCGUAAUAUUCAUCCAACUGUGAAAACGAGUCAGUUUCGGGAUUAAGAGCCCUCAGCAAAUACAACAACGAGCCAUAUUCAAGCUGUAGCACUCGUACAGCCGUGAUUAUUCCCGAACACCUAUGCAGCUUUGUGACAACUGCCAUGUAGCUUCUUAUAGCAUGAUGGGACAUGGUACUCUAUCGAUGUCGAUGAUGAACCCAAGUGUGAUGAAUAUGUUUGUGUUCUCACCAUAACUCUGCUUCCUUGCAUUUCCGAUUACAGAAAUCCAUGCAGUGAUUUGUGUAAUCCUUAGAAGAUAUUUGUUACCAAUACGUCUCAACAGCUGGCCAUAAAACUGUCACCACUGGGUCAAGGCAACCUUGGCAAAGAAACUCAUCAAGGCAAGUCAAACCUACUCGAGUGCAUGAUAGUCUACCAAUGAGCUGAUUCAGUUUGUGUCUGUAGGAUAUGAUUUGGACCCCAUUUCGGUGAAAGCAGUUCGUCUUAUGGAUUUCAAGGACUUCUUGAUGACAAUUAAGCUGCCCAUCCUUACCCCCCAUGAAGAUCAGUUAAACCAAGGUUUAAGUAAGAUUAUAGAUACAAUUGUGUAAAAUCAUUUUGCAUCCACUCCAAACGUGAACUUAGGAAAGUUGUUCUUAGAAUUGAUGAGACCAAGGAACCGCUCAUAUGUCACUUGCCUGGGAAAAAAUAUGCGCGAAUUAAUGGCGUUUAAGGAACGUCAACUGCUACUAACGAUAUUCUGAAUAUUUUAGUACCUUGGGAAUCACAGUUGGCAAGGUGGCGAUUGAGAAGAAAUUUAAUAUAUAAUGGAAAGUCACGGCAUGGAAUGUUGAUUGUCCGUCGCCUUUUUAUCCGAUCUGAUGAUUAGUGGUACAAUUUUUGACAUCAUCAAAAACGGGAUGGCUAAAAGGAGGGAAUGCAUUUUGAUGCGCCAUUAAACGUUUGCAAUGGG